rnacentral:rRNA from 1 species
ACAAUAAAUACUGAUACAGGGCUCUUUUGGGUCUUGUAAUUGGAAUGAGUACAAUUUAAACCUCUUAACGAGGAACAAUUGGAGGGCAAGUCUGGUGCCAGCAGCCGCGGUAAUUCCAGCUCCAAUAGCGUAUAUUAAAGUUGUUGCAGUUAAAAAGCUCGUAGUUGAAACUUGGGUCUGGCUGGCAGGUCCGCCUCACCGCGUGUACUUGUCCGGCCGGGCCUUCCUUCUGGAGAACCUCAUGCCCUUCACUGGGCGUGUUGGGGACCAGGACUUUUACUUUGAAAAAAUUAGAGUGUUCAAAGCAGGCCUUUGCUCGAAUACGUUAGCAUGGAAUAAUAGAAUAGGACGUGCGGUUCUAUUUUGUUGGUUUCUAGGACCGCCGUAAUGAUUAAUAGGGACAGUCGGGGGCAUCAGUAUUCAAUUGUCAGAGGUGAAAUUCUUGGAUUUAUUGAAGACUAACUACUGCGAAAGCAUUUGCCAAGGAUGUUUUCAUUAAUCAGUGAACGAAAGUUAGGGGAUCGAAGACGAUCAGAUACCGUCG